GGAGAAAUAUAAAGUGGGGCUGCUAACCUUAUUUUGGGUAGUUUAAUUCUAUCCUUCUCUUUU
rnacentral:tRNA from 1 species